GACGAACGCUGGCGGCGUGCUUAACACAUGCAAGUCGAACGAUGAAGCAGAGAAACGCGCACUUCGGUUCAAAUUUCACUUCGGAUUAGUGGCAGACGGGUGAGUAACGCGUGAGCAACCUACCUCUUACAAAGGGAUAGCCUCGGGAAACCGUGAUUAAUACCAUAUGACACAUUCAUAAGGCAUCUUAAGAAUGUUAAAGCUACGGCGGUAAGAGAUGGGCUCGCGUCCCAUUAGCUAGUUGGUGAGGUAACGGCCCACCAAGGCGACGAUGGGUAACCGGCCUGAGAGGGUGAACGGUCACAUUGGAACUGAGACACGGUCCAAACUCCUACGGGAGGCAGCAGUGGGGAAUAUUGCACAAUGGAGGGAACUCUGAUGCAGCGACGCCGCGUGAGCGAUGAAGGAAUUCGUUUCGUAAAGCUCUGUUCUAUGGGAAGAAAAGGACUGUACCAUAGGAGAAAGCCCCGGCUAAAUACGUG
rnacentral:rRNA from 1 species